GGGGGGGGGGGGGGGCGGGGCUGGUGGGGGCGAGUCGAGCGAACGGGCGGGAGGCUUGCUUGUCUGGUGUGAGCGGCGGGCGGGUGAGUAACACGUGGAUCACCUCCCUAUCAGGCUGGGGUAACUUCGGGAAACCGGAGCUCAUACCGGAUCAUCUUGUUCACCGCAUGGUUCACACGUGCACGACGGUCUUUCUGUCACUUAUAGCUCGCUCCGCGCUGCAUUCGCUCGUUGGUCAGGUAACGGCGUCCAAAGGCAACGAUGCAUAGCCGAGCUGAGAGGGGGAUCGGCCACACUGGAACUGAGACACGGUCCAGACUCCUACGGGAGGCAGCAGUAGGGAAUCUGACGCAAUGGGCGAAAGCAUGAAGGAGCAACGCCGCGUGAGUGAUGAAGGUCUUCGGAUCGUAAAACUCUGUUAUUAGGGAAGAACAUAUGUGUAAGUAACUGUGCACAUCUUGACGGUACCUAAGCAGAAAGCCACGGCUAACUACGUG
rnacentral:rRNA from 1 species